CUCUAUACGCCGUAUUAAACGAGCAUUCAGAGUGUAUUGUAAAAAAUCUGCCUCUCUACAACUUCGCCCAGUGUCUAAGCUCUCACUCUCGUCUCUCACCUCCGACCACCAGCGCCGUUCUUCCUCUUCAACCAGUUUUUCUCUCUACCUCGCCUCUCUCUCGCUCUAAAAUACGACGAGUGUAUACAUCGACUGUAUGUAUAGUUUCCACUUGUAAAUAUUUACAAUUGCAGCAAUGGCGGAACAAUCAAAUACUGGAGCCUGGAGAAUAAGAAGAAGUGAUGUUGAAAGCAUGAGAUGCCCUCACUGCUGGCCUUCUUUCCAAAGAGAUGGUAAAAUUAAUUGCUUUUUAUUGAUUCGUAUUAUCUAAUAAGCAAUUUCUCAGCAUUGAAUUUUAAUUCAAUGGCAGGAAACCAGUGAGUGGACUGAUCCGCCACUAAUUAGGGAUAGCUUUUCUAUGGUAUGGCUUAUUUGAGUAGUAAUUUUUGCUGUAAUUUAUGCAUUUUGUGUACCUUAUUAAGCUUUUCUGUAUAUUAUGGGUGGGUAUUAUCUCUUUGGUAAUUGUAAUUAUAAACUAUUUUUCACUGUAUAUUGCUUUUUCCUCCUUUCCUUUUCACUUUCAAUAUCCUGAA
rnacentral:lncRNA from 1 species